GUAAGUAUUAUUAUUUAUAAAAAAAUUAAUUAUAAUUUUUUAAAAAAAAUUUAUUUUUAGUAUAUUUAAGAAAUAAUUUUUAUUAUGAUAAUGAAUUAGUAUUGUGAAAGAUUUAUUUGAAAUUUUUAUAAGAAAAUUAUUAUUUUGUACCUUGUGUAUCAGGGUUUAUUAAACAUUUUUAAGAAAAAUAUUUUCUCGAAUUUAAAAGAGCUAAAAUAAUAAAAUUUUAUUGUAGAAUAAAUAUUUUAAAUAUUAUUUUAGUAAUGAAACGUUAUUCGUUUUUAAAGAUAUCUAGUUAUUUAAGAAAAAAAUUUAAUUUUAUUAUUAUAAAAAAUAAGUUAUUUUAUUAAUUUAUUUUUAAUAAUAUUUUAUUUAUAGGGGGAUAAGCUUAUAUAAAAAGAUUUAAAAAUAUUUUUAUAUUGAUUAAAUUUUUAGGAUUAGUAGUAUUCACUAAUAAAAUGAUGUUAUAAUUAAUUUAAUUAAAGAUAUUAUUUAUAUAGAAUUUUAAAUAAUUUAUUAAAUUUUAAAUUUUAAUAUAAAAAAUUUAGUAAUAAUGAUAGAAUUAGUAAAGUUAAAUUAAUUUAAAAUUAUAGUAAAUUUUAGGUUAAAUAAAGGAAUUCGGCAAAAGAUUUUUCACCUGUUUAUUAAAAACAUGGCCUUUUGAAUAUAAUUUAAGGUCGAGCCUGCCCACUGAAUAUUAAAGGGCCGCGGUACCCUGACCGUGCUAAGGUAGCAUAAUCAUUAGUUUUUUAAUUGAAAGCUGGAAUGAAUGGUUGGAUGAAAAAAUAGCUGUCUCUAUUUAAUUUUUAUUGAAUUUUAUUUUUAAGUAAAAAAGCUUAAAUUUUUUUAAAAGACGAGAAGACCCUAUAGAGUUUUAUAAAAUUUAAUAAUUAGUUUUUUAGGAAUAUAAUCUUGAUUUUUAAUUUUUAUUUGAUUGGGGCGAUUGAAAAAUUUUAUAAACUUUUUUUUUAAAUUAACAUAAAUGCAUGAAUUUUUGAUCCAUAUUUUGUGAUUAUAAGAUUAAAUUACCUUAGGGAUAACAGCGUAAUUUUUUUUAAGAGUUCUAAUCGAAAAAAAAGUUUGCGACCUCGAUGUUGGAUUAAAAUUAAUUUUUGGUGUAGAGGCUGAAAAUAUUAGGUCUGUUCGACCUUUAAAAUUUUACAUGAUCUGAGUUUAAACCGGUGUGAGCCAGGUUGGUUUCUAUCUUUAAUAAUAAAAUAUAUUUUAGUACGAAAGGAUCAAGUAUAUAUAUUAGAUAUUUAUAUUGAGUGAAAUU
rnacentral:rRNA from 1 species